ACUAAAGCACAGAUAAUUGUCUUUGGAGCUGAGAAAGUGAAGCAGUGAUUUCGACCUGGUGCAGAUUUGGUUCCAAGAUAUUGAAUUUGCAGAAAGAGAGGAAUUGUUAACACUGUCACAAUUUUUAGUAACUACUUUCAAGUAAUUGGCAAAUAAUACAAGCAGGGUCAUCAGGAUCUGAAUACCAUUGGCAUUUAACUGUGCAAGGAGAAAGAGUACUGAAAAGGCGGAUUUGUGGAUGAGAAAUUCAAAUUGAACUUCCUGUUCAGUUUUGAUAGUUACUUGAUCCGUGCCGAUCUGAAUAUCAUUGGCCUUUUCAUGUGGAAGGGAAGGAUGCUAGAUGGUGAAGAUUUGCAGACUGAAAUCUCAAAGUCAUGUGCAGAUUGUGAUUAAGUUAACCAGCAUUUGAAGAACCAAAGAUAGAGAAUCACUCCACCAAAAUCCUGCAACACUCUCCCUCCCAGCAUUGUCGGUCUCUCUGCGCCAAAUGGACUGUGAAUGGUACAAGACAGCAGCUCACUACCAUCUUCUCAAGGGUAACUAGAGAUGGGGAAUAAAUGCUGGCUGAGCCAGUGAUGCCCAUAUCCUGGAAAUGGUUUCUGUCUCAAGUUGCUGAAACCCAGUUGAUGUUACUGCAGGAUGGUGAGGGAUGCUGAGUGUAUCCUCCAGGAGGCAGCACCAUCACAUUACCCCUGCCUACACCCACACAGUAACACAGCAACGUCACUGGAACAAAAGGCAGUGAAACUAAAGGAGGACUUAGAUAUAGUUCUUUGAGGUAAAGACAUGAAAGGGGAUUGGAGCACAGCAGGAACAGGAGACUGAGCUGGAUGGUCAGCUGUUUCCCAUUGAAUGGUGGAGCAGGAUUGAAUGGCUGAAUGGUCUCCUCCUGCUGCUAUCUCCCAGGUAUGUAUAUAGCCAUGGAGCCCGGGUAGGAAGGAGUGGGCAGAGAUUCUCCAAGAGAUUGCACUUCCACAACAGGUUUCAGUGAGCGAUGGUUUGAUGGAUUUUAUUUAACAUUUACAAACCUUGUGUUAAAGAUAAAUUUUGAUUUUAAAA